rnacentral:rRNA from 1 species
UCCAGACUCCUACGGGAGGCAGCAGUGGGGGAUAUUGCACAAUGGGGGAAACCCUGAUGCAGCGACGCCGCGUGUGGGAAGACGGUCCUCUGGAUUGUAAACCACUGUCCCCAGGGACGAAAAUGACGGUACCUGGGGAGGAAGCUCCGGCUAACUACGUGCCAGCAGCCGCGGUAAUACGUAGGGAGCGAGCGUUAUCCGGAUUUACUGGGUGUAAAGGGCGUGUAGGCGGGAUGGCAAGUCAGGCGUGAAAACUAUGGGCUCAACCCAUAGCCUGCGUUUGAAACUGUCGUUCUUGAGUGAUGGAGAGGCAAGCGGAAUUCCGUGUGUAGCGGUGAAAUGCGUAGAUAUACGGAGGAACACCAGUGGCGAAGGCGGCUUGCUGGACAUUAACUGACGCUGAGGCGCGAAAGCGUGGGGAGCAAACAGGAUUAGAUACCCGGGUA